rnacentral:snoRNA from 1 species
AAUGGAAAUCAACUUGUUGGCUAUGGCAGCCUCCCAUUACAAGCCAUGGAACAGCAUAUUCCUAUUUGUUGGCAAGGCUGUCUCCAUUUAUUUGGUGUCUGUUUCUUAUUUGCCCAAAUAACUAAC